rnacentral:lncRNA from 1 species
UCAGCGACACAGGAACAUCAUGACCCACACUGGACAGGGUGAAGGCGGGGUGGCCUUGCAUGCAUGUGUGGUGCACGUGUGUUGUGGUGGGAUUUUAAUCAUACUUUUGAAGGGUGAAAUAACCUCUAUCUCCAUGUGCCAGCGAAGGAGCAGAACCAAGGCGUGACCCCGGUGUACUUGCAUUACCAGCAAGCUUUGUCCCUAAUUUCCAGAGGAAACUUUCCUUUGGGCUCCUGUGGUUGUCAGAGUCAGCAUUCCCUUUGAAAAGGGGCAUUUAGUUGAAGGUAUAUUAAAGGAGCUGAAGAUGUAUAAACAGGAAUAAAUAAACUCAUCUCCUUCAGAUAUUUCUUCAUCCCGUCAUUUUUGUUUCCCACUCUGCCUACUUAGUAGUAUUUCCGUAAUGCUUACCAUGUCCUGGUCUCAGUUGGAUCCAACUAGACUUAAGGAGACAUUGGAUAUAUGUGGAAAGGAAAGCUCAAGAUGGCAGAUUGAACACUCACUGGAACCUGAAGCUUCUAAUACAAAUAAAUUGACAAAGCACUUUACAAGAUAUAUUGUGG